rnacentral:rRNA from 1 species
GAGUUUGAUCGUGGCUCAGAACGAACGCUGGCGGCGUGCUUAACACAUGCAAGUCGAACGGUCUCUUCGGAGAUAGUGGCGGACGGGUGAGUAAUAUAUAGAUAACCUGCCUUGAAGAGGGGGAUAACUAGCCGAAAGGUUAGCUAAUACCGCGUAAUGUUGUAGGGUGAAGUUCUUACAAAGAAAGGAUUUAUUCACUUUAAGAGGGGUCUAUAUCCGAUUAGCUAGUUGGUAAGGUAAAGGCUUACCAAGGCGACGAUCGGUAGCUGGUCUGAGAGGACGAUCAGCCACACUGGGACUGAGACACGGCCCAGACUUCUACGGAAGGCAGCAGUGGGGAAUUUUCCGCAAUGGGCGAAAGCCUGACGGAGCGACGCCGCGUGGAGGAUGACGUCUUUCGGGAUGUAAACUACCUUUCAUUAGGGACGAACAAAUGACGGUACCUAAGGAAGAAGCAUCGGCUAACUACGUGCCAGCAGCCGCUGUAAG